rnacentral:rRNA from 1 species
AUGUAUUGCGGUAAAAGUCGUGAUGCUACCAUUGUGCUUGAGGCCGUAGCAUCUCAGGACACAUGGAUUUGGCAUGCAUUCUUUGGGUUGCCGGGAACACUCAAUGAUAUCAAUAUCCUCAAUAGAUCUCCUUUGUUCAAAAGAUUAAUUUCUGGGGAUGCUCCAGCUUGCAACUACAAAAUCAUGGACAAUGAGUACUCAAUGGGAUACUAUCUGACCGAUGGCAUCUAUCCCGAAUGGGCAACUCUUGUGAAGUCCAUCAAGGAGAAAAAUGGGGUGCCCUUAACAAGAAAAGAGGCUCAUUUCACCAAGGCACAAGAGGCAGCCCGCAAGGAUAUUGAGAGAGCUUUCGGUAUUUUGCAAGCAAGGUUUGCCAUAGUUCGUGGUCCAGCUCGGUUUUGGGACAAAAAAAACCUUGAUGAACAU